UAAGUGAUAACUUUCAAAAUCCGUCGACUUUAUAAAUCGUGAGGGUUCAAGUCCCUCUAUCCCCAA
rnacentral:tRNA from 1 species